rnacentral:rRNA from 1 species
GCUUACGACCAUACCACCCUGUCUGCGCCUGAUCUCGGAAGCUAAGCAGGGUUGGGCCUGUUUAGUACUUGGAUGGGAGACCGCCUGGGAAUACCAGGUGCUGUAAGCU